rnacentral:sRNA from 1 species
AAAAAGUUGACCAAAAUAAUAUCCAAAGUUCCAAACCAUGUGGGUUAAACCGUUAAGGUAAGUUGUAAAAAAAAAAACCGUUAAGGUAAAUGCGCGCGUAUGAUUUGUCGUGUAGUGAACUAUGAAUAAAUGCUAAAUAUGGUCGGCCACUACAUUAUAUUCUCAUAUUCCAGAAUCCUUUGUUAUAUAUUGCUGUGUCGGCAAUAAUAUGAAUGACUUUGAAAAGUAUACACAAUAAUGCAAUAUAUAUGUAAGUAAUUAUUUUCAUUAGGGAGGAGACCCGCGCGUUGCACGGGGUGGUUUGUUUUUGGUUUUGUUAGUAUGUAAUUAUAACUUCGAUUUUUUUUACUGAUCUUUGAUUAAAAGGGGAAUAUCUUUGUUAUUUGCACCCCUCAUUUUAGUUCGGCCCAAAUCAAGAAUAAACUAAUCAACAUCAAUCCCAAAAAGCCCAUAAAAGUUGGUCCAUAUCACCAGCUUAGUUUUUCUAUAAAUAGAGAGGCAUCUCAAGGAAAAAAGGAGGAAGAAAUCCAUAUUAAAACGUCUUCAAGCUCCUCAGCUCGUUCUCUAGCUCCUCUGCUCGUCCUCAAGCUUAUCCGCUCGCUCUCAAGCUCCUCAGCUCGUCUUCAAGCUUCUCAGCUCGUUCUCAAGCUCCUCUGCUCGUCCUCUAGCUCCUCUGCUUGUCCUCAAGCACUUCAGCUCGCCCUCAAGCUCCUCUGCUGGUCCUCAAGCUCCUCAACUGGUCCUCAAGCUCCUCAGCUCGUCUUUAAGCUCUCCAGCUCGUCUUUAAGUUCAGCUCGUCUUCAAGCUCCACCACUCAACGACCAUCUCCUCGCCUAGCUGUCAGCUAGUCAGCUCGUCCAAUUCCUCACUUAGUCGUUAGCUCGUCCCUCAAGUGCAUAAAUCUAUCUCCUCACCUAGCUGCCAGUUCGUCCAUUGACUACACAAUCCGCCUAUCUCGUCUCCCAGCUCGUCUAUACUUUCACCAGAACUCGAUUUGUCCGGCUCGUCUCUCUACUACAUUUCGUCUAGCUUGGCCCCUGGCUACCAGCUCGUCACUCAAAUACUCAGUUCGUCUAACUCGUUGUCUAUCAACCAGUUCGCCUCGUAACUAAGUUCGUCCAGCUCUUCGCCUACCUGCCAGCUCGUCACACAUCUGCUAGCUCGUCGCCUAGCUGCCAGCUCGUCACCAACCUGCCACCUCCUCUCUAAACUGCCUAUCUCAAUAUACGACCUACCUCCAACGAUGACCUAGCUCACUUAUUAUAAUAUGAACUACGUAUUCUGACCAAUUUUAUUUGUGGUACUGUCGUUGGCCAAAACCAAAACAGAGGCUCAAUAGCUUGGAAGUCCUUGGGCCUUUAAAAGUUUCAGGCGUGGCUGUUUGUAAUUUAUGUAAUCGACUAUCUCCAGAUCCAAUUUGAGAGGGAGUUGAUUCUGUUGAAAUCUAUCCAUCGUUUUUGCUAUUUUUCCUACAAAUCUAUUAGAUGUAAGUAAGACUUCAGAUGAGUGAAAUUUGAAUGAAUAAGAGAUCUAGUUAUUGAAUUUCAUUGUUUUCUGAUUCUCGUUUCCUCAUUAUUUGAAUAUGUUUUUUUUGCAGAUGGUUGAGCUAAUUUGAUUUGGUGGAUGUUGUUUUCGCUUAAUAUAAUUGGUGGAGGAGUGAAUUUAUCCUUAUCAUUUAGUAGAGCUUCGUCUUAUUUUGUUUAAUCUGUCCGUCAGUGUAAAUUGGAUAUAGUACCUAUGUGACCGUGGUAAGUAUAUAACAAAUUUUAGCAUUUCAUGUUUUUAUUGAUGAUAUCUGUUGAUAAAAAAUCAGUAAUAAAUAAAUUGGAGAUGGGUGGAUAAUGUUGUUACAUGCGUAACAAUACAAAGUGUGUUGUAAAACUUGUAACGAAUCCAUUAAGAAAUAGUGGAGAAAAUUUCAAAGCUUUUGAAAUAUAUUUGUCUGAGGUGCUACUUUGUUUCGCAUUUUGCACUUCUUUUUCUUCGAAUUCUUCAUUUUCACCUAAUGGAAUUUUAAUGUUUGGAAACUUGUAUUAGGUUUAAUGUUAGAUAAAUUGUGGUGAAAAAAACAUAUUGUUGACUUGAGUAAGAAAUGUUUGGGUUAUUUACUUGCAUAAGUGUCUGCUUCUAAUUCAGGUUUCCAAAAUAUCUGGCUUUUUGUGGUGUUCACCAUUCUGUUGACCUACAUAAGAGUAUGUAAAUAGUUGUCAGUUUCUAUCUUUGAAGACAAUAAGCAGUUUUAACUAAUUCCUGCUCAUAUAUGGACGGUCAUUGUUAGGAUUUUUUACCUGUAAUUGCUGGUAGACCAUUAAAAACUUCUCUGUAGACUAUGUUAGUAACAUACUUGCCUUCUUUUUUUUUGGAUGUGUCUAGAACUGUUAGUCCUUUUGGGGAUGUGACGCGUGACAAAGCAACGUAUAGUUGGCCGUGGCUGAAGACUGGUUUUGGUAGAUACAAUGCCACUCUAUUCAAGGUUUGUCCUUGGCUUUUAUUUAUCGUCAUAGCGUAGCACAUACGUACUGGAAACUGACGCCUUCUUAGAGUGAAUGGAUGCUUGGAAUCUUGUGGUGAUAGUAUAAUCCUUGGGAUUAACACUUUUUUCCUUUCUUUUGUUGUAUCUGAAAGAAUCUCAGCUUUAAGUACUUUGUCUCCCAAAUGAGUUACAAUAAGCCUUGUUCCAUUGCAUAACCCUUCUUUUUGGUUAAGAUUUCUAAGUAGCAUAAUUGGUACUCCAACCUUUAAGCAUAGUCUAUGCGCUGGUAAUCCUGGAAACUCUAAUGAAUUUAGAUAUUCCAUGGGGUAUGACAUCUCAAAUCCUUCUUCUGUUAGUGCUUCAUCCCGAUCGAUACUGUCAGCGCUGAAAUAUUCCUUUGCUAAACCAGGCACUUUAGAGAGCAAAUAAUCGUUGAUUUCAUCAACGGUUUCAUUUCGUGGAGUUAAAACAGCUGUACCUUUAAGGUUCUCCAAGUCUUGAAAUGUGUUUGUAAAAUCCGGAAAAACUGAUCGGCAUAACACCUCUAGUGGGUUUUCUGUCUCUGGUAGCAGGAGAUUUUUGUCAAUUAUGAUGUUAUCUUCUUCUUGAUCAUCAUCUAUACCAUGGGUUUUUCUGGGUGCUUCUCCAUCCCCUACUUGCAAAAUCCAUUCUGCAAAUUUUAUUUCCUCAGGUUGCACUCUCAUAUUUUGUGAAAGCAAGUAUUUAUGACACGACUCCCAUAAAUAUGACCGAUUUAUUGCUGCGCUAACAGUUUCUUGUCUGGUUCCCUGUGGUAUCACUGGUAAGAUUUGUCUAAAAUCACCACCUAAAAGAACUGUUUUCCCACCAAAAGUUUUGGUUAGUGCCUUUUCGUCACCCACUGACAGAAUAUCUCUCAAUGUUCGAUCUACUGCUUCGAAGGUAUGGCGGUGUGCCAUUGGUGCCUCAUCCCAAAUAAUAAGAUCCACUUUACUAAGUACAUUGGCUAGCAUUGAACCUAUUUU